UACGUAGGGCGCAAGCGUUGUCCGGAAUUAUUGGGCGUAAAGAGCUCGUAGGCGGUUUGUCGCGUCUGCUGUGAAAACUCAAGGCUCAACCUUGGGCUUGCAGUGGGUACGGGCAGACUAGAGUGCGGUAGGGGUGACUGGAAUUCCUGGUGUAGCGGUGGAAUGCGCAGAUAUCAGGAGGAACACCGAUGGCGAAGGCAGGUCACUGGGCCGCAACUGACGCUG
rnacentral:rRNA from 1 species